GGGGGCGAAACGGCUUCGACGGGUUUGGUGAACCCGGAGCUGCGUGUCGAGGUCCAGGGACCUCGUUAAUCCUCCUGGGAAACUUCAAUUGCCAACAAUGACUUGGCUCUGGCCGCUUAAGUUCGCUUAAGCAGUCCGCUUCCUUAUCUGCCCGCCCGGGGCGGGUCUGUGAAGCGUCGAUAAUCCGGGCUGGCUCUUCGAUUUAGGCCACUGAAUCGAGAGUGAGACUAAAGGUGGCUAGCGCGGGGACGGUGGAUCGCCGACCCAACCGUUAGCGAACUCAAUGGCGACCUACGCACGUAGAAGCUUCGAAGGAUCCAUUCGCGGACGCGGGUUCGACUCCCGCCGCCUCCACUA
rnacentral:tmRNA from 1 species